rnacentral:lncRNA from 1 species
GUUUUUAAAACCUCUCUUUUCUAUAAUAGAGAUCCCACAGAAUUUAAACUCUAGGAAGAUGAUGGCAGCAGUGUAGUUUCUGAGUCUUCCCAUUCGACCCUAGAGUAACUAGGAUCACCACAGACCCCAUUCUACAAAACCAGGUGACAGGGUGUCCCUGUGAACUUCAAAAUACAGUGUUGGACAACCCACUGACCAGCGUAGUUUCAGCAUCUGUGUGGGAGGAAGUGAAAGGCAGGCAGCUGGUUUCUGUUGGCCUUGAGAACAGAGCUAUCACACUGCCCACAGUUUUCUCACUAGAAAGUGCAGCGGGCCAGUCCGAGAGCAAAAGCUGGAACUGGAAGGGGUCGCACAGGUCCCCACGUGCACCUAAGUGUUAGAUCAGUAUAGUGUGGUCUGAUCGUUGUGCGGGAGCAGCCUGGGCCCUGGCCUGUUUGCAUCUUAAACCUAAUGAGACAAAGCCCUGCUCAAGUUAGAAUCCAAAGUGGCCCAGAUAGGUACCACAGGACCAAGGGAAGAGAGAGGCCAGAUACAUAGAAAGAAAGGGCAGC